rnacentral:lncRNA from 1 species
GAUCUUUGUCUUCACAUCCUCAGCUUCCUCUGUCCUCACAUAUUAUGAUCUUAAUCACACUACUCCCCCCUCAAAUUGUGGAGUAGAUAUUAUCAAUGCCCAAUUUGACCAAUGCAUCAUUCAUGAGUGUUUCUCCUACUACCUUAGUGAAGAUAUCUGCCAGUUGGGUGUUUGUACUUGUAUGUUUCAGUUUUAUAACUCCCAAUUUUUCUCUUGAAAAAUGACAUGCCAUUUCAAUAUGCUUUGUUUUCUCAUGGAAAACUGGAUUUUCAGCAAUGUAUAUUGCUGAUUUGCUAUCACAAAAUAUAGUUAUUGGAUUAGCUGAGUUUAUGCCUAAUUCACCCAACAAUUGUCUUAACCAUACUAUCUCACACGACAUAGAGCACAUUGCUCUAUAUUCUGCCUCAGCAGAGGAUAGUGCCACUGUCUUUUGUUUACUGGAUUUCCAAGAAAUUAGGUUAUUGCCUAAUUGUACACAAAACCCAGUCAUAGAUUUUCUGGUUAGGGUGCAUGAACCCCAAUCAGCAUCACAAUAAGUUCUAAGUUCUAAGUUCUUGUUAUUUGAUAUUAAAAGUCCUUGCCCUGGUGCUUUCUUGAGGUAUCUCAGUAGCUUGUAUAUAUACUGUCUCAAGGUGCAUCUAUGUGGGUUUUUCCAUAAAUUGACUCAGAACUAUUACUGUGUAAGUUAUGUCAGGUCUAGUGACAUGUAUAUUAAUCUACCUAUUAGUCUCCUAUAUAUAAAAGGAUCUUUAAGUUCUUUUGAUUGAUCAUUUCUCCAACAAUCCCUUUUUCCAUAGGAAUUUUUGAAUGCUUAGUUCCUAAAAGUCCAUUUUCUUCUAGAAGGUCUAGAGUAUAUAUAUUUUCUUUGGUUUAGAAAUAUUUUAUUUUCUGAAUGGGAUACCUCAAUGCCUAAAAAAUAAUUUAGUCUCCCAAGUUCCUUUAUUUUGAACUUUUCUUAUAAUUUUAGAUCUGAAAUUUCAUAAAUUAAGUUUUCAGUUACUAUUAUAUCAUCUACAUAUACUAGUAGAUGGAUAGUAUUUUGGUUUUCAUUUCUUGUAAAAAGUGAGUAGUCUGAUUUGCAUUAUUUGAAGUUCAAUGCUAUUAUUACACUCUUUAGUUUUGCAAACCAUUGUCUAAAGGCCUGUUUUAGGCCAUAUAUGGAUUUCUUAAGCUUACAUACUCUUGAAUCUCCCUCUUUGACGAGAUUUGGAUGUGGCUUUAAAUAGAUUUCUUCAUUUAAUUCCUCAUGCAAAAAUGCAUUAUUUAUAUCUAAUUGAUGUAAUUCCCAUCCUUUGGUGCAAGCUAUUGUCAUCAACACUCUUACUGUUGUAAUUUUAGCCACUGGGGUAAAGGUUUGGUAAUAAUCCAAACCUUCAAUUUGGGUAUACUCCUGGGCCACCAAUCUUGCUUUAUAUCUUUCUAUUUUGCCAUUUUGUUUGAAUUUAAUUUUAAAAAUCCAUUUUGAUCCAACCACCUUUCUAUUUGGUGGUAAAUUGGUGAUAGUCCAUGUAUCAUUUUCACAUUUCUUUUUCCAUUGCAUUGACCCAAUUUGGAUGUACUUGCAGCCUAUUUGAAUGUUCUUGGCUCUUUAUUUAUUGUUAUGUUUUUUAUCAGGUUUUUAUGUUUGUUUUUCAGUCUAUGGCAUGAUAUAAACUUACUUAAUGGAUGUUUUGUGCUAAAAUUUGUUGUUUCAUAUUCUUCCUGAUCAUAAUAUAAGAAGUUUUUAUCCCUAUGUUUAUUUGAUUUUAUUCUGUUUGAUACUCCUUUUAUAUUUGAUUGUUUUUCAAUCUCUGUGAUAGAUUGAUUGGUAUUUUUUAUUUGAUUUGUGUUUCUGUUUUCAGUAUUUUCUUGAAAAGAAUCUAAUGAAAUGCUCAUGUCUGAGUUAUUCAUAAAUUCAGAAAUAUUUAUUUCUUCUGUUGGCUGAGUCUUAUGACUUAUAUUAUUUGUUUCUGUCAAAUCAUUUGAUUUUGACACAUCUUCUUCUAAUAAAUUUUCUGUGCAAGGUUCAUUAUUUUGUUAUUCAAUCCUUUGCUCAGAUAUGUUGUUUUUGGACUUUAGACUUCCUAAAAUCUCAUUUGAUUCAUUUGGAUCAGUGGAGCAUGUUAUAAUGACAUUUUCAUUAUGUAUACUUUGAGAAGUAUCUAUAUGGUCAUCCUCUAUUUUUAAUUUGAUUUGAGAUUCCAUCUCAUCGAUUUUUUGUGAAUUAUUUUCUUUUAUUAAUUUGUUUUUAUCAUUUUCUUUGCUGAUAUUGUUUUCUGUUAAUUUAGACAGAUCAUGGUUUAAAUUAUUUAGAUAUUGAAUAAAUGGUUCAAAUAUAGUUUGAUUACCAUUUUUGUUUGUAAAUAUCUUACCAGUUUGAAAGUCUUGAAUUAAAAACCCUUUAAUUCCUUGGGGAUACCCCAACAUGAUUCCUCUGUUGGCCCGGCCCUAUUUGAGAAUUUAUUCUCUUUUUCAGUGUUAUUCGUAUAACAUAAACAAUCUAUGGUUUUUACAUAACCAUAGUCAAUUUUUCUUUGUUUUUAACACCUCAUAUGGUGUUUUUAUAUAAGGACUUUGAGUUAAUUCUAUUCAUGAUGUGUGCUGCAUUUAAGCAACAUAAUCCCCAAAAUUUUAUUGGAAAAGAGGCUUGUAUUUUUAAUACCCUGACUAUAUUCAAGAUGUCUCUAUGUUUCCUUUCUAUCUUACUAUUUUAUUUUGGAGAAUAAGAACAUGAGAAUUGUUGAAUCAUUCCAUUAUUUUAAAAAAAAAUUGUAAUUUCUUUUGUUUUAAACUCUAAUCCAUUAUCAGACCUAAUUACUUUAAUUUGAGUCUGAUAUUGAGUUUUUAUUAUUUUAAUAAAUUCUAUGAUUAUUUGAGUUACUUCUGAUUUAUUUUCCAUUAAAUAAAUCCAAGUAAAUCUACUUUUAUCUUCUACAAUUGUGAGAAAAUAAUUUUUAUUGUUAUAUGUUGAUUGGGGAAAUUUUCCCCAAAUAUCAACAUGUAUUAGAUCAAAUGUUUUUAGAGAAGAGGUAUGGCUCCUUUUGUAUUGCAAUUUGACUUGUUUUGUCAUUGGACAUACAUCACAUUUAUGAAAAACAUCUUUUUUAUUAAAAUCAUUCAAUCUGAAAUUAUUACAAGCAUAUCUAGCUAAUUUCUGAUUUUUUUUUAUAAAAAUGUGCCCAAGUCUAUUGUUCCAAGUUAUGAUAAAUUUGUUUUAAAAGUUGGGAUGUAAUAUACAUCUUUUAGCAUUAGGGAGAUAGUAUAAUAUCUCCUAUAGCUUUGACUAAAUGUAUUUUCCAUUAGGUAUGCUAACUCUUAUAUUUUUAAGAGUUGGUUUUAAAUUUAUAAAACAAUUCUUAUUUCCACUCAUGUGGCUAGAAGCACCAAAAUCUGUUAUCUACAUAUUGUUAAAAUUAUUUUUAAAAGAACACAUAACCGGGUUGUUGCUUAUGAACUGCUUAAUCUUUUGGCAGUCUUCUUCAGUGAGGCAAAUAUUUGCAGUAUUUGCCACCUCUUCCAUGUUCCUUUUCUUUUCAACCUUCUUCUUUGCAAGGUACCCAUAUAAGUGGCAACAUUCUUUCUCUGUGUGACCAUAGAAGCGGCAGUGGUCACACCUGUUUACAGUGUCUAAUUUUUUUCUUCCUUUUCUACUGUAUUUCCACUUUUCUGAGUCUAAAGGCCAUUUUGGUCUAAUUGAUCCCCCUCUGGCUGCCAUUGCACAUUUUCAUUGGUAUUUAAGACCAUUGGUUGAAUCCUAGACAUGACAUUCUUUGUUUGUUUUUCUUCAGUGACCACAGUUGAAUAUGCUUGAUUGAAGUUAGAAAAAGGUUUAGUUGAUAAGGUUUGGCUUCUAACAAUUCUAAAAUUGUCAUUUAGACCAAGUAAAAAUUGUAUAACCUUAUCUUUUUCAAUCUCAGCUAACCCUAACCCGAUAUCAUCAAAACUAUCCCAUAUUGCCUUCAGUUUAUUAAAGUAAAUUCCUACUGGAUCACAUUUGAAAUAAAUUGUUUAAUUGAUACCUGAGUUGGUAUCUCAUCUGCCCAUCACCUUGAUUAAAUCUUUGCUCUAGAUCUUUCCAUGCAUCAAAAGCACUGUCAGCAUAUUCUAGGGAAGAAGCUAUGUGGCUUUUCACUGAAUUUAUUACCCAUGACUGGACUAUGUCAUUCACCAUCCUCUAAGCCUGGAAUUCUUGAAAAAUCUUGUCUGCAUGCUUCAUAAUUGAGCUAUCAACGAAUCCUUCCUUUCUCCUAGUAUACAAGUAUCUUAGUAUUGCCUUAGACCAGGUUGAGUAAUUCUCAUCUCCUUUAAGUUUAUUGGCGACGAUGAUUUCCUUUGGAUUGUCAGAUGAGUGAAGGUAAUAUGGACUGAAUCUGUCGGUCAUUGCUUCUUUUAAAUUGAAGCAAUCCAUUCUUGAAUUUUUCUUGACAGAGUUACACUUUUCUAUGAUAUUUUGUUCACGAUUAUCGUUGCUGGAGAUUUCGUCUGGUACCUUAUGCUGAAUUGCAUCAACAACCUGUUCAGAAGCCAUUUUUCAAGAAUCUUUGAAGAAACAAAUGGGGCAGAAGCUUUGAUCAAUAUCUAGCGAUUGAUACCAUAAAAGAACUCGUCUCCUGUAGACAAGAUGCGCAACAUAGAUGCUGCCAGAAUCAGAAAUCCCUAAUCGAUCAGAUUAGGGACGUGCAGCAGAGAGUGAGAGCACGGGAAGAGUAGUUAAUUGAGAAUUGAAAAAUCUGAUAAGUGUAAAACUGUAUUAAACACUUUAACAAUAUCUUUUACAUCCAACUCUUUAUAUAGAGUUAAUUAUGAACUCAAUUGAGUAUUGACACAUUAAUAUUUAACUGAAAUAAUAUUUAACCUUAAGUACAUAAUUAUUCUCUAACUAAUUAAGUAUUUUAAUAAACCUAAUUAGAUAGAAUUAAGCUGAUCUUUGUCAUCACAUCCUCAUCUUCCUCUGUCGUCACAGAUUAUGAUCUUAAUCAUAAUAUUCUAGGGUACCCUAUAUUGCUUUUCAAAUGCAAGUGUCAAAAAUCUUUGCAAGGUGGUCUACCUUUAUUACAACAUUUGCCAACCCACUUGUUUUACCAAAUCCUGUAAUCAUCUAAGUUGCUAGCAAAUAAUUGUCUCCAAUCAGUCUAAGAGGAAGACAGUUUGAUUUUUAACCAGAAUUUCUACCACUCAGACCACCCUAUUUGUUAGGAGUUUUGAUAAGAUUUUAUAAAUUUUGUCAAUGCAAGAUAUAAGUUGUGUUAGGUGUCUAAUCUUGUUGGGUUAGUAAUUUUUGGGAUUAAGGUAACAAAUGUUGUGUUUACCUGUCUUAGUAGGAUGUCUACAAAGAAGAUUGAUCAUAUAACUUUUACAAGAUCUUUGAAAAAACUUUGAAAAAAACUUCAUUAAAUCCACCAAAUAUAGGGAGCUUAUCCAGAUUUUAACUCAUAACGACUUUCUUGAUUUCUUCAUAUGUGGAUACUUGUUCUAAUUCUAUGUUUCGUUAGGUUGUUACCGUUUUUUAUGAAAUUCCUAGAAGUGCUAGUUAGAUUUUUAUUUUUUUCCAAAAAUAGAGUUUUAAAAUAUUCUAGCGCUUUUUAGAUAUCGUUGAAUUUAUUUAUCAUAAAAGAAAAAGCUAUAUAUUCAUGAAAAAUUCAAUUAAGCUCAGAUAAACAAAUGGGUUUGUGUCAAUUUUCAACAAUGAUCGAUUAAAAUCAAAUCAGAGUGGUGCAUGACUAAAUAUCAUCAUCGCUUUAUUGAAAACUUAAUGGAAAACAAACAAUCAUAUCAAUCAAAAAGAUAUGGGCAUCUAUCAACGCAAUCUGAAAAUAACAAACAAACUGCCUGGAAGAUGUCCAACAAAAUAAAUGUUCGAGAAGAGUUUAUAAAAAUGGCAAAUAUAAAAAAAACAAUCCAGUAUAAAACAUUAUCUUCUCAAAUCGAUAAAAAAAACUUGCUAAAAACAUUACUAAAACCUAAUAAAGUAAAAUCAAUAUGUGAGAAAUUCGGUAAGCGAAAAUGUUGAUCGAAAAUAUUCAACACCCGACCAUAUAACUUCCUACCAUUUGAUGGAUUAAUUUAGCUACAGCCGAUCAGGCAAAUCAAGAUGGGAGCAGAUGUUAUUAAACACACCCUCCAUCUUGGUACAAUAUAGCAUCGAACUUACAAAUCUAGCAAUCUUCACACCAACAACGAAAUGGCCAAGAAAAAAAAACAGACGGAAUAUGAAGGACGGCGGCGGCAGCGGAGAGAGAAGAUAACAAAUUUAUAAUAAAUAAAACCCUAAUUUUAAUAUGAAUGUUAUACAGACUCGGUAGAAGAAUAUAUAGAUGGACGAGAUAAACUGGUGAUUAGGAUGCCUCACGGAACAUUGUAGUUAAUGUGGACCUAAAAUUGAU